AUGCCAAACGACGUAGCCUCGUCAUACUGGAACACAAGGACGUUCAAUCUGGGUUUCACCCUCCUCUUGCGCCUUGAUACCAAUGGCCUGCUCUACCAGGUGAACAACAAUGGCAGCUUUACCAAGAACCUGGCAAUGACACAGCCCAGAGCCUUAAAAGCGGGAGAGCAAGCCUACUACCGACUCACGCUUGAUCCUGAUGGAGUUCUGCGUUUGCACCGUCAUACCUUCGUGUCUGGCUCUGGCAGUGCGUCCAAUACCACCACCGUCGUUUGGAGCGCUCUGACCGAUCGGUGGGAUGUCCAUGGCGUUUGCGGGCACAACAGCUAUUGUGUCCUCGACCAGGAUCGGCCUAGCUGUUUGUGCCUGUUGGAAAUAUGCCUUAGAGGCAAUAAUAAAUUGGUUAUUAUUAUAUUUCCUUGUUCAUGA
rnacentral:rRNA from 1 species